rnacentral:lncRNA from 1 species
AAAUGAUAGCACAUGAUUGCUACCUUAUUUAAGGCUAAUAAAUUUGUAAUUGUUUCUUUUAACCAAUAUUAAUUAGAAAAAUUCUAAAUUUUUUUAAAGAUAUUAAUUAAAUAAAAUUAAAGUUUUCCACUACAUCGCUGUAUAAAUUGCGAUGGAAUUCCUUACUAAAUAUGUUUUUUCCAAGAAAAAUAUUACUCACC